GGUGCCCCACCCACUGCUGAGGGGCGGUAUCUGUUGCCUUCAGGACACCAGCUGGCUAGACCUCUGACCUAGAAUUCACUUCCUGCAGCUCCUGGAGUCCCUGGGACUUUGGGAGAAAAAUAACACGAGGAAGCAUAUUGGAGCAGCCGCUGAGGAACUGGAAUGACAUUGCCUAAGGAAACUAAAACUUGAACUACAAGGCCCAGCCAUCUGACUUCCAGGCAAUACCUCAAAGAAAGGGAACGGCUUCACUGUUCUCCCACUUCUUGGUAGCAUUCCUUCAGGGAGUGAAAACAAGCCUCCAAUGACCAGUUCUCAGUGGGGAGGAGCUAUACCCAGUUCCACAUUUGACGAAGACAGAUGUGUGUUGCAACCAAGCCACUUAGGAAGCAAACAUUUCGUCAUAACGGAUUAAUUUUUAACCCAAAUCAAUAAAGCUUAGUUUUGUAUUAAAAAA